UCCAGAAAUCAGCCAGUGAGCGA
rnacentral:misc_RNA from 1 species